GCUGGGCUUUGUGGUGAGGCCUGUAGUCCCAGCUACUUGGGAGGCUGAGGCAGGAGGAUCACUUGAGCCCAGGAGGUCAAGGCUGCAGUGAGCCAAGAUUGCACCACUCCACUUUUGCCUGGGCAACAAAGUGAGACCUUGAUUUUA
rfam:Gorilla gorilla gorilla genomic chromosome, chr19, whole genome shotgun sequence